UACGUAGGGACCGAGCGUUGUCCGGAAUCAUUGGGCGUAAAGAGCGUGUAGGCGGCUCGAUAAGUCUGCUGUGAAAGUCCAGGGCUCAACCCUGGGAUGCCGGUCGAUACUGCCGGACUAGAGUUCGGAAGAGGCGAGUGGAAUUCCCGGUGUAGCGGUGAAAUGCGCAGAUAUCGGGAGGAACACCAAUGGCGAAGGCAGCUCGCUGGGACGUUACUGACGCUGAGACGCGAAAGCGUGGGGAGCAAACAGG
rnacentral:rRNA from 1 species